CUUGCUCUCUCACGCUCUGUGAGUCUGUGAGUGAGUGUAGCUGUCAGUGUGUGACUGUGAGUGAGUGAACGUGUGUGUCUGUCAGAGUGUAUCAAAUCAGUGAGGUUGGCUAUGUCUGUGAGUGUGUGUCAGUGUGUGUCUGUCAUUUUAUGUGUAUCUGAGAUUGUGUGUCUGUCAGUGAGUGGGUGUGUUAGUGUGUGUCUGUCAGUGAAAGUGUGUGUUGAUUAAACAGUGUGUGUGCCAAUGACUGUAUGUGUGUGCCAAUGACUGUGUAUCUGCAAUUGAGUGUAUGUCAGUGCAUGUGUCAAUGAGGGCCUGUGUCUAUCAGUCAAAAAAGUGGCCUUCACACGAAUU